UGGUUGUAAGAUAGAUAGAAAAAGCAUUAGUGGUACAUGUCACCUCCUAGGUAGCUCCUUAAUUUCUUGGCAUUCUAAGAAAUAAGCUUGUGUAACCUUAUUCACCAUAGAGGCUGAGUAUAUUAUUGCACGUGACUGUUGUGCCUAAAUAUUACGGAUGAAACAAUAGUUAGAGGAUUUUGAUAUUUAUCUUGACCAUAUACCUCUUAAGUGUUAUAACACCAGUGACCAUAUACCUCCCAAGUUCAAGCUCAUGUUCUCUCAAUUUUCCAAAUAGGGUGGCCAUGUUUAUUGUACUCAAAUCUCACCUGGAAAUAGCGGUGGUCUAUUUGUAGAUGCACCUUCUCCAAAGGUGUAAGAUAUAGUGGCCAUCAAGAUCAAUUUAAUCGAUUAAGUUGUGAACACAAUCGAUUAAAAUUUGAAUAAAUUUUAAGUUCUUAGCUCUGGU
rnacentral:lncRNA from 1 species